rnacentral:rRNA from 1 species
UAACGAGCGCAACCCUUAUCGUUAGUUUGCCAUCUGGUAAUGCAGGGGACUCUAGCGAAACUGCCACCGUAAGGUGAGAGGAAGGUGGGGAUGACGUCAAAUCAGCACGGCCCUUAUGUCCAGGGCUACACACGUGUUACAAUGGUCGGUACAGAGGGCAGCUACCUGGUGACAGGAUGCUAAUCUCGAAAACCCGGUCUCAGUUCGGAUCGAAGUCUGCAACUCGACUUCGUGAAGCUGGAUUCGCUAGUAAUCGCGCAUCAGCUAUGGCGCGGUGAAUACGUUCCCGGGCCUU